GUGCAGCAGGCGAGAAUACUUUACAAUGUGCGAAAGCACGAUAAGGGAACUCUGAGUGCCUCCUAAGGAGGCUGUUCAGGUGUCUAAAAAGCACCUGGAGUAAGGGCUGGGUAAGACCGGUGCCAGCCGCCGCGGUAACACCGGCAGCCCAGGUGGUAGCCACUUUUAUUGGGUCUAAAGCGUCCGUAGCCGGUUGAGUAAGUUCCUUGGGAAAUUUGGCUGCUCAACAGUCAAGCUUCCAGGGAAUACUGCUCGACUUGGGGACUGGGGAGAGGUCAGAGGUACUCCAGGGGUAGGGUGAAAUCCAUUAAUCCCUGGGGGACCACCGGUAGCGAAGGCGUCUGACCAGACCAGGUCCGACGGUGAGGGACGAAGGCUAGGGUCGCGAACCGGAUUAGAUACCCGUGUAGU
rnacentral:rRNA from 1 species